CAUAUGCUCUUCACUCUGAUUGUCCUUCUCUCUCUUCAUUUGGUGGUGGAGAGAGAGGUCCGUUCUAAAGCAGAAGCAAAGAAAAGCGAAAUUGAAGCUCAAAUGUGGAGGUUUCUUCUUCUUCUCCAGACAUGGCUUCUCAUUUUUUGUUUACCUUUCUCCAUUUGUUUAGCUAGCCCUGCACCCUGGGUUAUGCGCAUAAGCUGUGGAUCUCGUGUAAAUGUGCAUACUCCUCCAACCAAUACACUUUGGUACAAGGAUUUUGCGUAUACAGGAGGAAUUCCUACUAAUUCAACUGCGACAAGUUAUGUUGCUCCUCCACUUAAAACUCUCCGCUAUUUCCCUCUAUCUGAAGGUCCCAACAAUUGCUACAAUAUUAAAAGAGUGCCAAGGGGACAUUAUUCUGUGAGAGUCUUCUUUGCAUUGGUUGCUCAUCAGGAUCCUGACCCUAAUUUUGAUAAUGAACCUCUAUUUGACAUUUCUGUCGAAGGCA
rnacentral:misc_RNA from 1 species